rnacentral:rRNA from 7 species
ACGAGGCACUACGGUGCUGAAGCAACAAAUGCCCUGCUUCCAGGAAAAGCCUCUAAGCAUCAGGUAACAUCAAAUCGUACCCCAAACCGACACAGGUGGUCAGGUAGAGAAUACCAAGGCGCUUGAGAGAACUCGGGUGAAGGAACUAGGCAAAAUGGUGCCGUAACUUCGGGAGAAGGCACGCUGACACGUAGGUGAAGUGAUUUACUCAUGGAGCUGAAGUCAGUCGAAGAUACCAGCUGGCUGCAACUGUUUAUUAAAAACACAGCACUGUGCAAACACGAAAGUGGACGUAUACGGUGUGACGCCUGCCCGGUGCCGGAAGGUUAAUUGAUGGGGUCAGCGCAAGCGAAGCUCCUGAUCGAAGCCCCGGUAAACGGCGGCCGUAACUAUAACGGUCCUAAGGUAGCGAAAUUCCUUGUCGGGUAAGUUCCGACCUGCACGAAUGGCGUAAUGAUGGCCAGGCUGUCUCCACCCGAGACUCAGUGAAAUUGAACUCGCUGUGAAGAUGCAGUGUACCCGCGGCAAGACGGAAAGACCCCGUGAACCUUUACUAUAGCUUGACACUGAACAUUGAGCCUUGAUGUGUAGGAUAGGUGGGAGGCUUUGAAGUGUGGACGCCAGUCUGCAUGGAGCCGACCUUGAAAUACCACCCUUUAAUGUUUGAUGUUCUAACGUGGACCCGUUACCCGGGUUGCGGACAGUGUCUGGUGGGUAGUUUGACUGGGGCGGUCUCCUCCUAAAGAGUAACGGAGGAGCACGAAGGUUGGCUAAUCCUGGUCGGACAUCAGGAGGUUAGUGCAAUGGCAUAAGCCAGCUUGACUGCGAGCGUGACGGCGCGAGCAGGUGCGAAAGCAGGUCAUAGUGAUCCGGUGGUUCUGAAUGGAAGGGCCAUCGCUCAACGGAUAAAAGGUACUCCGGGGAUAACAGGCUGAUACCGCCCAAGAGUUCAUAUCGACGGCGGUGUUUGGCACCUCGAUGUCGGCUCAUCACAUCCUGGGGCUGAAGUAGGUCCCAAGGGUAUGGCUGUUCGCCAUUUAAAGUGGUACGCGAGCUGGGUUUAGAACGUCGUGAGACAGUUCGGUCCCUAUCUGCCGUGGGCGCUGGAGAACUGAGGGGGGCUGCUCCUAGUACGAGAGGACCGGAGUGGACGCAUCACUGGUGUUCGGGUUGUCAUGCCAAUGGCACUGCCCGGUAGCUAAAUGCGGAAGAGAUAAGUGCUGAAAGCAUCUAAGCACGAAACUUGCCCCGAGAUGAGUUCUCCCUGAGACUUAGAGUCUCCUGAAGGAACGUUGAAGACGACGACGUUGAUAGGCCGGGUGUGUAAGCGCAGCGAUGCGUUGAGCUAACCGGUACUAAUGAACCGUGAGGCUUAACC